UACGAAGGGGGCUAGCGUUGCGCGGAAUCACUGGGCGUAAAGGGUGCGUAGGCGGGUCUUUAAGUCAGGGGUGAAAUCCUGGAGCUCAACUCCAGAACUGCCUUUGAUACUGAGGAUCUUGAGCUCGGGAGAGGUGAGUGGAACUGCGAGUGUAGAGGUGAAAUUCGUAGAUAUUCGCAAGAACACCAGUGGCGAAGGCGGCUCACUGGCCCGAUACUGACGCUGAGGCACGAAAGCGUGGGGAGCAAACAGG
rnacentral:rRNA from 1 species